AGGGGGGGUUUGAUCAUGGCUCAGAUUGAACGCUGGCGGCAUGCUUUACACAUGCAAGUCGAACGGCAGCACGGGGGCAACCCUGGUGGCGAGUGGCGAACGGGUGAGGAAUGCACCGGAACGUAUCUUCAAGUGGGGGAUAACGCAUCGAAAGGUGUGCUAAUACCGCAUAAUCUCUGAGGAGAAAAGCAGGGGAUCGCAAGACCUUGCGCUUUUGGAGCGGCCGAUGCCUGAUUAGCUUGUUGGUGAGGUAAAAGCUCACCAAGGCUCCGAUCAGUAGCUGGUCUGAGAGGACGACCAGCCACACUGGGACUGAGACACGGCCCAGACUCCUACGGGAGGCAGCAGUGGGGAAUUUUGGACAAUGGGGGCAACCCUGAUCCAGCCAUGCCGCGUGAGUGAAGAAGGCCUUCGGGUUGUAAAGCUCUUUCAGCCGGAACGAAACGGUCACGGUUAAUACCCGUGACUACUGACGGUACCGGAAGAAGAAGCACCGGCUAACUACGUGCCAGCAGCCGCGGUAAUACGUAGGGUGCGAGCGUUAAUCGGAAUUACUGGGCGUAAAGCGUGCGCAGGCGGUUUUGUAAGUCAGAUGUGAAAUCCCCGGGCUUAACCUGGGAACUGCGUUUGAAACUGCAAGGCUAGAGUGUGGCAGAGGGGGUGGAAUUCCGCGUGUAGCAGUGAAAUGCGUAGAGAUGUGGAGGAACACCAAUGGCGAAGCAGCCCCUGGGUCAACACUGACGCUCAG
rnacentral:rRNA from 1 species